UACGUAGGGUGCAAGCGUUGUCCGGAAUUAUUGGGCGUAAAGAGCUUGUAGGCGGUUUGUCGCGUCUGCUGUGAAAUAUCGGGGCUCAACCCCGAACUUGCAGUGGGUACGGGCAGACUAGAGUGUGGUAGGGGAGACUGGAAUUCCUGGUGUAGCGGUGAAAUGCGCAGAUAUCAGGAGGAACACCGAUGGCGAAGGCAGGUCUCUGGGCCACUACUGACGCUGAGAAGCGAAAGCAUGGGGAGCGAACAGG
rnacentral:rRNA from 1 species